UUCCGGUUGAUCCUGCCGGAGGUUACUGCUAUCGAGGUUCGACUAAGCCAUGCGAGUCGAAUGUAGCAAUACAUGGCGUACUGCUCAGUAACACGUGGACAACCUACCCUUAGGUCGGGGAUAAACCCGGGAAACUGGGUAUAAUACCCGAUAGAUCUCGGCUGCUGGAAUGCACCGAGCUCUAAAGCUCCGGCGCCUAAGGAUGGGUCUGCGGCCUAUCAGGUAGUAGUGGGUGUAGCGUACCUACUAGCCUACGACGGGUACGGGUUGUGAGAGCAAGAGCCCGGAGAUGGAUUCUGAGACACGAAUCCAGGCCCUACGGGGUGCAGCAGGCGCGAAAACUUUACAAUGCUGGAAACAGCGAUAAGGGGACCUCGAGUGCCAGGUUACAAAUCUGGCUGUCGUGAUGCCUAAAAAGCAUUGCAUAGCAAGGGCCGGGCAAGACCGGUGCCAGCCGCCGCGGUAACACCGGCGGCUCGAGUGGUAACCGUUAUUAUUGGGUCUAAAGGGUCUGUAGCCGGCCGGAUAAGUCUCUUGGGAAAUCCAGCAGCUUAACUGUUGGGCUUUCAGGAGAUACUGUCUGGCUCGAGGCCGGGAGAGGUGAGAGGUACUUCAGGGGUAGGGGUGAAAUCUUGUAAUCCUUGAAGGACCACCAGUGGCGAAGGCGUCUCACCAGAACGGACCUGACGGCAAGGGACGAAAGCUAGGGGCACGAACCGGAUUAGAUACCCGGGUAGUCCUAGCCGUAAACGAUACUCGCUAGGUGUCGGCCACGGUGCGACCG
rnacentral:rRNA from 1 species